rnacentral:tRNA from 1 species
GCCACUGUGGUCUAGUGGUUAGAACGCUGGCCUUGUAAUCCUGGGGUCUCGGGUUCGAUUCCCGGCGGUGCCC